rnacentral:lncRNA from 1 species
AGUUCUUGUGAGGAGGGGGAGGGAAAGGGCCAGUGGCGGCAGAAUAAGCCGCUUACCAUUUAAGGAAGGGCAAGUGGAGCUUAAAAGGGAGCUUGAGAAGCCCAGGCCUUUGGAAUCAUUGGGUGGUGUCAUUCAUCAACACAGAGUCGAUUAGGAUGCUAGCACUUUUCUGGGUUGUGCGGAAAACUUUCAAUAGAUGCCAUGGAGUGGAAGCUAAUUGUUAGACUAGUAAACAGAUUUUAAAUUAAUGAACAAACAUAAGCGUUCCGGGGAAGAAUCUGAAAGGAAAACUACAGGCUUGCACAAUCCUGCCAUGUAGCCACAGCCUCCACUAAACAUCCAC